rnacentral:rRNA from 1 species
UACAGAGGGGGCAAGCGUUGUUCGGAAUUACUGGGCGUAAAGGGCGCGUAGGCGGCCUGCUAAGUCGAACGUGAAAUCCCCGGGCUCAACCCGGGAACUGCGUCCGAUACUGGCAGGCUUGAAUCCGGGAGAGGGAUGUGGAAUUCCUGGUGUAGCGGUGAAAUGCGCAGAUAUCAGGAGGAACACCAACAGCGAAGGCAGCACUCUGGGCCGGUACUGACGCUGAGGAGCGAAAGCAUGGGGAGCGAACAGG